UGCUCAGUCUUGGUUUUUAUGUGCUAUGUUCUGUGUGCUGUUUUUGUUUUUGUUUUUUUUUUUUCGUGUGCUAUGUUCUGUGUGCUCUGUUUUUGUUGUUGUUUUUUUUUUUGUUUGGAAUGGCAUAGCCAGUUUUUUUUUAUUGAAUGGAUGAAUUUGGAUGUCCCUUUGAUUCCUUUGCCUUUCUCUUAAAUAACAGUAAAAUCAUCAUUGUUAUAUUAUAAACGUGAGAAUGUGUUAUCAUUUUAAAUAGAAAGUUACUGCCUGUAGCUUACAAAAUAG
rnacentral:lncRNA from 1 species